rnacentral:lncRNA from 1 species
UAGAAAACCUAGAGAGCCUAGACCUUUCAGUCGUUUUUAUCAUAGACCCCUCCCCAGAACUUGAUCUUCUUCAGGAGACACCCAUCGAAGACCCGUAUCUUUAUAUUCCUCCCCUUCCACACACCCUAUACCAUGAGAAUGAAAAUCAGCCGCAAUAGACCAUUUUAGACAUAGCCAUUGACACACAAAAUCGCCGGAACAGCCUCAGACCUUCACAAAAUCCGGCGAAUCAGUGUUUUGCAAUGAACUUUUCGAGUCAGCCGAGGUUGAUUCUAGUCAAGAUUUGUAGAUAAGAUAAUGGAAUCACGCUGGAAAUGGUAAGUCUCCCCUGAAAUGGGGACUAACAGUGGUGAAACCUUCAGAUCUGGCAUCUCUUUUGAAACCUUCAGAUCUGGUCUUCAUCUCCAUCGUCUUCUGUCUUCUUUUAAAAAAAUCCAGCGGGUUUUUUUCGUUUCCAUUGUUGAACCGAGUUAUUGAAGAUUUGAGGUUGAUCGAUUGGGGUGAUGUUCGAAGUCGUUUUGUUCAACUUCCGUCCGUCUUCAAUUUCGGUGUUAGUAGUUGGCUUACGUUGCUUGUGUAAUUGCUGAAAAUUUCCGUUAAUUGAAGUUUUAAUUUCAGGUCUGUUUUUCCUUUUCCUUUUUACUUGCUUUGAUAUUGAAGUUUAAUGUGACAGAGUGCCCUGUUUAUUUGGUGAAAGAUGUUCUGAAUUACUGAUUCGUUUUCUCGGCCAGUUGAUUGUUGGUUUUGUUCGUUUAUGCUUCUUGUGUUAACUCUUGGAGUUUGAAUUAAUCGUAGCUAGAAAUUGCCUCAAUUAGCAUGUCUUCUUUGUAUAUUUUUUUUGCUAUUGACUUCUCCUUUACUGUAGUUUAAUUAGUUUAGAUCACAAAUCGAUAGUGCAGAACAAUGUUCGAAUUUAAAAGAAACAGAGUCAAAGUUUCAUACUCGCUGUCUUAUUUUACUGCUUUAGCUAAACUCUUGGAAGAAGUGGACAAUUCCAAGUGUUGUCUUGGACUUAGCUUUAUUCAGUUGAGAGCAUUUCUUUUAGUUCGAAUACAGCUCAUAGAAUAUGUGUAGGACGACUUCCUUUGUAUCUUUUGAAAUUGCUAGAAAUGGGUAGUAGAUGUAUUUAAAGAUCUAGUACUUUGAAACAUGUAUUUAACUAUCUGAGCCAAUUACCUUCCCUGAUUCCUUCUUUUAACACUAAAACAAUGUUUCUUCAUAAUAAAUGGGUAGAAGGAUAUUAACAGUAUGUUCUCCUUGUUUUAGUCUUUUAGUAAUUCUAAAGGUCCUUCACAUUAUGCCUUGUUUAAGAGUGUCACUAGACCUUAAUCCUGUUAUGACUUCACGAAUGUGUGCCUUAAGUUAUAGUUAUCUCUCUUUGGUUGAAAAUCUAGUGUACGCACACUAUUUUGCCAUGAAAGUCGAGAAGAUGAGCAUGACAACAUGAAAUAUGAGAUUCCUUUUGUAACAGUUCUUCAAAUAGGGUGUAAAUUAUAAGUAUUUCGUCAAUUGUGCUUAGCAAAUAGACAAAACAAAUGUCUCAAACUUAGGCGUGCUCUUAAUUAAUUUAUUAUCGCGAUUACGUACACGUUCGCGUGACAUGAUUACGGUUUCUAAGAUAAAUAUUCGUAGCUUACUUUAGGUACGUUCAAUAUACCAUCGUGGUUAUAUACACGUUCGUAUAACAUAAUUACGAUCUAAAAAAUAAAAUCAGAGUAUGCGUUUACGCAACUUUGACUAAAUUUUCUCAAUAAUAAUAAAGUGUGAUUAACUGUGGACACGUACGCGUGACAUGAUUCUUGACGCGCCAAACAAACAGGUACACGUGCGCGUGACCUGUUUUAAGAUAAUUUCUUAAUUAAAAGAGGUGAAUGCACAUAGGUUCUAAAAUAAGUAAUUAGACAAUUUAAUUAAGCCAAGUAUGAUCAAAGUGACCGUGCUAAAAUCACGAAACUCGGGAAUGCCUAACACCUUCUCUCGGGUUAACAGAAUUCCUUACCCGAAUUUUUGUGUUCGCAGACCAUAAUUAGAGUCAUCUUCCUCGAUUCGAGAUUUUAAACCGGUGACUUAGGACACCAUAAAUUAUCUCAAGUGGCGACUCUGAAUUUAAUAUGAAUAAUAUCAUUUUGAUUGUCAUUUAAAUUGGAAAAACUCCUUUAUAUCCCUUUCGGGGUAAGAAAAAAGGAGGUGUGACAGCUCCGGCGACUCUACUGGGGAAAAGAACCCAGAACUUCUGGUUCAGGGUUCAGAAUUCGAGCUUGUUAAUAUGAUUUUUACUUGGCUUUAUUUAUUGUUGAUAUUACUGUUUUUAUGGACCUAAUGUGCUAAUUGCCUUUUAUUUACCGCUUUGACAUUAUUUGAAUUGUAUUAAACUGUCUUCCUAUCCCUCCCACCCGAGUUUUCUAAAAAAUGGUGCACAUAUUCGCGUGGACCACUUUUCUGUUAGAAGUUAUACCAAAUAGAGUGAGGUUGGGCCAGCAACAACGCCGGGUAGACUUUCGUGCUCCCGGUACGUUGCCCCCAUCUCGGCUCGAGCUGUCCGCUCGGGUAAGCCAGGUCUAGAACACAACCCCAGGUUUCAACCUAGAAUAACAUAACCUCAUGCCGAAUCCCUAGUAGGAAUGUUUGUUUGCAUCACGUGCAUUUGAUUUAGGGACUCAACACAGGGGUUGAGUCCGUCUAGGACAAGUGUACCAAAAAUAAAGACCAUCUUGAUGCAUCCUAUGUGCUACAUGUUGCAAUCUUCAAGGGUAAAAAGGGUCAUUUGGCGGACCAAAGAUGGCUGAGGGUUAAUGAGAAAGAAAAGAGGGUGAAGUGUAAAAAUAAAGCAAGUAGGACCCAGUUAUGUUUUUCUUUCACAUUUUUUUAAGAAAAAGGCCAACAAAAAAAUAUAUAUGAAAAAUCCAUAAAGAUCACUUUCCCAUCAUUUUCAAAAAAUAAAAAAAAUCAAAAAAAGGGAAAAGAAAAUCCAAAAAGAGUUUACACGUUUCAUCAUUUUUCAAAAAAAAAAAGAUAAAAAUAUAUUUUCUCUAAAUUAGUUGUUUCUUUUAAUUCGUGCCCGUAUCCAAUCUUCCCUAACUACGCGAACCUGAUUCUCGUCUCUUGGGGCGGGAUACGUAGGCAACCCACAUCGGGUCCGGUCUUCCUAGUGAGUCUUAGGUUCUUGGCUUCGAUGGUUGUAGCCAAUUCUUGCAUGUCUAGCCACUUUUGGCCAUAUCGGUCAUUUUGCAAAAUAUGGCUAUUUUUGCAAAAGUGGUUUGUUUAAUUUUCUGAAGAGUCUUGAAUAAACAAUUAGGUGUCUCUUUAAUUUAAGGCACAUCCUUGUCGAAUUUGCAUGUCUAGCCACUUUUGGCCACAUCGGCCGUCCUUGCAAAAUGGGAUCAUUUUCGCAAAAGUGGUUCAAUGACCCAUGUCUUAGAGUUCUAAGUCCACAACAAGAUGUUCUCUCUGUUUAAGGUCCAUUGUGUUGAAUUUGCAUGCUUAGCCAUUUUUUUGUCUACAUAGGUCAUUUCUACAAAAUGGGUCAUUUAUGCAAAGUAAUUUUUCCAUGUCUUAGAGGUCACUUUUCUUGAGUUUGCACUUCUAGCCACCUUUUGGCCAUAUAAGCCAUUUUGCAAAAAUAGCCUCAAUCAUAUCUUGCAUGUGUCCAAUAUGAAGUCUUAUUGUCUCACAUAGUGUUCUAAGUCUUUAACUCUAUUUGGUCUUAUUUUUCUCAUAUAGGUGUGAAUCUACUUAACAGAGCUUGAGCAUGACAUACGCCCAAGGACCUUCUUAGUCAGGAC